CAGGGAGACAACAAAAUGUUUAAUAUUAUUAUUUUGUCACCUUAGGUCGAUCGGUAUCUCACAUUCUUAACUAAUUUAGAAUUUCAAUUCCUAAGUUUUUCUAGGUCACACCCAUUAUUUUUCCUGGGCCAUUAGCUCAGGUGGUUAGAGCGCACCCCUGAUAAGGGUGAGGUCCCUGGUUCAAGUCCAGGAUGGCCCAUAUCUCUAUGUUGGGGGUAUAGCUCAGUUGGUAGAGCGCCUGCUUUGCAAGCAGGAUGUCAGCGGUUCGAGUCCGCUUACCUCCACUGAUUACCACCUCUUACAUAAUUUGAGAGGGAAAUUUUUUUUGAGGUGUGAUCAAAUUCUGAACGAAUCUAGCUUCCUAAUCAAUCUUAUUAAGAUGCUGGAUUCAUUGAAUUAUUUUCAUUGUUUUCAGAGAACCUUGACAACUGCAUAGAUUAUUUUUAAAGACAAUAAGCAUCUUUAAUGAUGCAGAUUUAUUAUUUGUGCGAAUGCAUUAAUAACAAUUCUAUUAAGCUGAUGCUUCAAUUUUUGAAGUUAUU
rnacentral:tRNA from 1 species